CGAAGGGGGCUAGCGUUGUUCGGAAUAACUGGGCGUAAAGGGCGCGUAGGCGGCUCUGUAGGUUGGAUGUGAAAUCCCUGGGCUUAACCCAGGAAUGGCAUACAAAACGGCAGGGCUAGAGUGUGAGAGGGGAAAGCGGAAUAACGUGUGGAGUAGUGAAAUGCGUUGAUAUACGUUAGAACACCGGGGGCGAAGGCGGCUUUCUGGCUCACAACUGACGCUGAGGCGCGAAAGCGUGGGGAGCAAACAGGAUUAGAUACCCUGGUAGUCCACGCUGUAAACGAUGAGUGCUAGAUGUUGGAUGGGUUUCCAUUCUGCGUCGCAGCUAACGCAAUAAGCACUCCGCCUGGGGAGUACGGUCGCAAGAUUA
rnacentral:rRNA from 1 species